UUCAGAUAAAAGUGGGUGGUCAGGGGGAAAGAAACAGUCCUCUCCCCCACUUAACAUGCUUGGACAAAUAAUACAGUAAGACUGUGUGUUAGCAGACUUGUUGGCUGGAUAUUAAAGGACAUUUCAUGGAACAGUUUGCUGUGGUGAAACCAGUGGAGUAUGUGCUCAGUAAGGAGGACGACAGAAGCUUCCAGUAUGUUUCUAUUUUGAAGUCAUUGCUUCAGGCUGUGACACGGAAAGAGAUCCGGGAUUUUUUCUUGCAUGAUGGAGAAGCUCAGAGCAAUAAUGAAACUCAGUACAGGGCAUUUUCUGAUUAUAAAACAAAUGAGUUGUUGUCUGGAGAAAAGAGGAUAAAAACAGAACACAAGACAAAAUUUAAAUUGUUUCUCUGUCAAGUUGCUUUUGAUGUUCUGUA